rnacentral:sRNA from 1 species
ACUUAGCCCCGAUUACAACGACAUCCUUUUACUUUUUGCUGCAAAAAGUAAAAGAUAGAGUGGAAAGCGGGACAUCGA